GGCCGCGGGGCGGGGAGUGGCCGCGGCGGCUGGGGUGCGGGUUUCUGCUCGUAGUCAUGCUUCUGAGUCAUGAGGGUCGACAGCUCCGGUUUAAUUUAUAGCUCUGUAAACAGAGGGAGGCUUCUUCGUUAAAUGUCAUCGUUUUUUCUUUAUUUGGCAUCAGCAAGAGAGUCUUGCGGCAUUGCUUAACCUCCCUUUGUGAGAUAUUGUGUAGAAAAAGUAACAGUUAUACUGAGAGUGAAAGAAACCAGCAACCCAGGGUGCUCCUGUCUCAGUGCUGUGCUCAUAGUCCUGUGACUGAGGGAAAACACUGUAUUGCUUGGGGGGGAGGGAGAGGUGUGUUGUCUGGUUCUGGUUUCAUCACCCACUAGACCAUAACAAUCCCACAAUUAGUUAUUACACAAGUCUUACAUUGGGGGUGCUACUUAUGGUACCGCCUUCUCCCAACAAUGGCAAUGAAAGUGCUGGCUUAUCCAGAAUGUGGUAAGGAUGCUGUUUCAUUUCUGAUCCCAUUGCCAAGCCCACCUCUGAGCAGUUCCAUCAAAUAUGGCCCUGAGGAUGUUCUGUAGCAUUUGUGGCCAUUGUCUUUUUGGGAAAGAGCUGAGCAUAGGAGUGUUUACACUCCUCUGCGGGAGCCGGGCUUGGCUCUUUUGCCUUUCAUUCUGAAAGUCAAAUCAUCCUACAUCAAAACGGUGUUGUAUUAUAAUGAUUUUAUUUGAGGGGCUCUUGUGCAAACUCUUUCUAGUAGUAUCUGGUUGACAGGACUUGGCCACAUGACUUUAUAAUUCUCUGUUUAUCAAAAUCUGGUAUUACAAAGAUACUGGGUUCUUCGGAUCCUUUCUUCAUGCAGCUUUUGGAAGAGGCUGUGCCCAGAAGUCAAUAACUGUACAUCUUUUAAAGCCAUUUCUUUCAACAGACAAACCAGGCAGCAAAUAGAUCUUUAGUUUGGGAUAACAUCUUCUUGGGUUGUUUCAGCUCAAUGAAAAUAUGCCAGGCCAUAGGAAACAAGGAGCUUGAACCAUAUGCCUUGGCAGGUAGCCUCUGGUCUGUUUAUGACUGAGAGGAAAAUGAGCAGGUAGAAGACACAGAGUUAUGCAAUAAGCACCAAAUACAGGUUUCUUUCAUGCUAUGAAGUAGGUUAGUAACUGCUUGAAAGCAAAAUAUGUGUUCCAACUUCUGUCCCCAUACAGCUGAUGUGUCCAUAUCAGCAUGCACAAGCUCUUAGAGUUGUCUUUUUUGAAUCUGAAAAAUAAAGAAUUUGAACUAAAUCUAAGCCAGAACAUGACAUUAUUUUCUUUUUGCACUUUAACAGAGUAGUUCAUUUGAGAUUAUUUUCAAGGGUUUUCAAUAGGCAUUAACUUAGCCAAAAUCUAGACAGAAAAAUUGAAGGAAGUAGAGAUUCAACCCAUGCAGCUGUGCAAUGGAAAGGAAAUGGAAAGGUAGUUGAAUAGUUGUUGACACUCCUUUUCCAUCUUUCGUUGUUGUAGAGCAGCUUAUGUUUGCAGAGGUUCCUUACCAAUUUGAAGGGGUUUGUUGCGUAGUGCACUGCAAAUGCCGUGUGUGUGGUGCAGUGCAAACUUACGCCAGAUUGCGCUGCCACAGAGAAUUCUAAGGAAAGAUACUUUCUGUGUAAAGAGUGUCCAUGUCUUUUACUAGAUUAGAUCAUAUAGUGGAAGGGAGGAAAGAAGUGGACAAGCUUUGGUACGUACAAGUCUCUCCUUCAGCUGCUCUGAAAAGGAUAUUCUAGAAACCUGUACCAACAAAUCUGUGCUUUUCCUAAAAUCUAGGUGAUAAAGCUUUCUAUGGAAAAAUUUGGAUUUCUUCAUCAGUUCCUACAAGCUUAGUAGCUGCUACUCUUCCAUUAAGCUUUUUCUGGAAGACAUGCUGCUAUGAACAUAGCUAUCAUAUAGAGUGGUCUUUAGACCAGUUCAUGUAUAGAUGCACAAUUAAUUGCUCUAAGUGUAUAAAAAAUAUAUAUAUGUAUACAUAGUCAGUUCUGCAUCAGCUCUGAAAAGCGCAUUUACAAUGCUCACCUCAUUACUAUAGAGAUGACUGUAUGCCACCAACGGAUCAAUCUUUUGAACGAGCUAUUAGAAUACCACUGUAAAGCUUACUGUAAUUCCAAAAGAAAAUCUGCGCUUAUUGUACAUCUCUGGCUGUCAUGUACUAUACUGUACUAGAAUGGCUAUGGAAAGCAGUUAAAUAAUUAUGUUAUCCCAGAAAAAGUAUUAUGCUUGGAAAUGACGUUUUCCUAGAACAUUCCUUUUGCCCUCCAUAGCUUUAAAGUAGUUCCCACAGCCUUACCGCCAGAAGCGACCUUCCUGGAAGUCAGUGAGUGCCAAAUAGAAUCAGAUUAUGUGCAAAUCUUGCAUAAUAAAUGCCCUCUACAGCAGAACUAUCAAGAUGUGUGGCUGCUCCUCGGUCAAGUCAGAAAAUGUGAUAUACUUACUCAAUGUGCCUAAUGUCCUCAUGGAAAACGCUGGGAUGAACACGAACAACUACCAGGAAUCAGAGCCAACACUGACAAGCUGAAGGACAGAAAUGCCCACUUAGCAGUUGGAGAACACCUGCAGAAAGCAGUCGAAGGAGACCUACAGAGAGCCUCCAAAACACAAGCCCAGAAGCUAUACAUCUUUCCUGUGGCUAUAAAGGAGAUUUGGCUCUGUGACACUUCUGAUUCGUUUCUCUUCCCUUUUCUGUGGGAGCUCUCCAAAAAGUUUUCUGCAGAGUGCUUCGUACUGCAAGAUCUGUAUGAACUGAGACAAUACAGCCGUUCAUGAAAUCUGCUGUAGUCUAAUAGUCUCACAAAUCAAUUUACUCCACUUGUAAGAUUUAUUUGCUUGCUAUGUUACUGGAAAUUUGAAUAACUAAUCAAAAGUGCCUUUUAAACUUCUGUCUUCAAAUCUUGGUGAGAUUUCAAAGCGUUCAGCUCUGUCAGAUUUUGUCAUAGCUACCUGUGAACUGAAGUUAUCAUACCUCCAUAAUUAACAUUAAAUACUAUAUCCUAAAAAUAUAUCUAUUAUAUAUAUCUAUAUGAUUUCCAUUUUAUCAUCUAGUCCAUUCACAGGGUCAGUUUAGGAAUGUUACCUGGUGGUGUUUAUUGAGACAGAACGAAUUACAGAAUUAUGCACCACUUCUUGCUGCUGCAGUUUUCCAAUAACAUAACUUGAAAGUUUACAUUAAAAGUGACUCACAAGUUCAGAAACAGAUUAAAGCCUUACUGCCGCAUUCUCUGUUCUAAUCCUUCCUCCUCCUGCCCCUCAAAAUGAAUGUUUCCAAGACUGUAAAAUCAAAAUGAUUCACAGAAAUCCUCCUGAUGCAGCUCAUGGUUUUCGAAACUUUUGUUCUUUUCUAUUUGUUUCUUCCAGAACUUCCUGUGUCACUUCCUCCAUAUCCACUGGACUUUUUUUUUUUUUUUUUUUUUUUUUUGCUCUGGCAUGAUAUUUGCCUUUAUUUAGUAUUGCUAGUGAUCUGGUGGCAUUCUGGUUUUCAGUCGUUAUUCAAAAAUGUGGAUAAGUUUAUUCAGUUCGUAUAGAAACAAAUGUAGCAUACUGUAAAUCACAAUGAGGAAUGUUUUGCAGAACAGGAACAAUUGUAUAAAGAAGUGGAAAAGCAAAUAAAAGACACUGUUUCCCCCAAGGGCUCCUGUUUUUAUAACUUUAGAUCCAGACGUUCUUUGGAACUUGGUCUGACUCUCUUGCCUUUUAAUGCCUUAUUAAAUGUGAAAAGCAGAAAAUGGACUCAAAUCAUGGCUACCUUUUUGAAGUUUAGAUGAUCAGCAGGGCAGUGUGUACUGUGAAACAUUUAUCUGCAGUGAGCGCAGUGCUUAAAAGAAAUCCGUAAUCUAUUACUCAUUUAGUUGAAUGCAUAGCACAAGCAAAACAAUACCUGAACGAAUGUGUCAAGGCAAUAUAUUUAAAUGUUAUCAGCAGGAAUGCAUCAUACAAAUGCUGGAGGAGAGAACUGCUGCUUUGUGGGAAUUUCAUCCUUCAUUUUUUGACUUUUCUGCAUGUUAGUCUCACACAAUAUUAUUUUUAAUUCAUGACUCUGAAAGGGUAUCUUCUUUCUGCCCUACAUGUAAAAGUAAUAUGAAUAAGAGAAAAGCGUUUUCCAGAGUCAGGUGUGAUCCUGUCCCUGUUGAACUUAAUGGCAGAGUUCUCGCUGACUUGAGUGAUGCAGGACCUGGUGUAUAUAGGUUCUUGUGGUGGGGGAGUUUGUUUGUUCUUGGCUUCCUUUCUUCAGAGACAUUGAUGUGUGACCAAAAGCCACAGGUUUGGCUCCUAAAACACACAACCUACACAAUUUUAAGAAUGAAGAUCAUUUUAAAAUUUGUUUGAUUCCCUUUCAGUAACUACUUUUAAGAUUGUUUAAAUGUACUCAUUUUUGUAAUCUCAUUGUUUUUUUCUCCUUAGUACUCCUUAGGCAAAUUGUAUUUCUGGCCAUUGGUUUGAGUUUGAACUCAAAUAUCCUUCUUAUCUAUGUUGUUGUAAGUGGGGUCUUUCUAAUUUCCUUUUGUCUAACUUUGGAUACUUUCUGGGACAUCUCGCAGAAAAGCUUGCUUCUUCUCUCCUCCCAGUAAAAUCACUAAUUUACAUUUGAAAAUGCAUUUCAGGGGUACAACAUACCCAAUUAUAAAUGGAUUAUUUAUUUUAGCUUUUUAAUUUGCUUUAUACUACAAAUAAUAAAAUUGGUUUUAGGGAUUGAGUUUUAUAUUGUUUGACUGAUAUUCAAGUUUAUUCUGAAACAACUAAUUUUGAUUUCAUUUUGCUUAAUCUGUCAUUGUUUUAUUAACUUUUCAGAAAAUGAAUUGCAAGAAUCCUUCAUGAUUGCAUAUGUCCUAAAAACCCUCUGUAAUCUGGAAAAAUAAUAAUUUUUAGUCUUUGUGCUAGACUGAACAAACUACUUACAAAUAAGUCUGGUUUUGCUUUAACUUCUGCAGUUCAAAUUAGUUUUAAUAACUGCGAUUACAGUGUAGUAUGCUGCCUGCCUCCCAGGCAGUUACUCCAUCUUCAGCGUAGCCUUCAUAAGCGCUUGAAAAUGCAGAUAAAGAAAUCUACUUUUUAUUCUCUUGCUAUUUCGUAAUUGCUGUACACUUUUUUGUUUCGUAAUUGCAGUUCUACUUAAAUGCUAAGAUAUUUAGCACUGAAAAGAAGCAGACUCUUCAGCUGUUGAAAAUGAGAGUGCAUCUGUAAUAAAGGUUAUUAUGAUUCA